AAAAUAAACUGUAUCUGAGAGCCCUUAAGGAGAAAACAGAGAAAUAUGUAUGUACUGAAAUAAGUCUCCCAAGAAUUUGAUCAGAUUUAUUUGAUCCUAUGCAGUAUUCAUCUUUUAGCUUGCUCCACUAGGCUCCCCAAGGUUGGCACUUCUAGGAUCAAUGGUUCUCUAAACAGGUAAGGAUUAGUGUUAGGUUAGGGUUAGGGCUAGCUUUAGAGCUAGUGUUAGGGUUAGAGUUUGUUUUGUUCAAAUUUCUUUGAUACUGGGAAGGAUUUAUCUUUUACCUAGCCUUAUUAUGUGCCCCAGUUUGGGGCCUUCU
rnacentral:lncRNA from 1 species